CAGCAGCAGCCACGGUAAUACGAAGGGUGCAAGCGUUAAUCGGAAUUACUGGGCGUAAAGCGUGCGUAGGCGGUUUGUUAAGUCUGUUGUGAAAUCCCCGGGCUCAACCUGGGAAUGGCAGUGGAUACUGGCUCGCUAGAGUGUGUCAGAGGAUGGUGGAAUUCCCGGUGUAGCGGUGAAAUGCGUAGAGAUCGGGAGGAACAUCAGUGGCGAAGGCGGCCAUCUGGGACAACACUGACGCUGAGGCACGAAAGCGUGGGGAGCAAACAGGAUUAGAUACCCCCGUAGUCCCUGUCUCUUAUAC
rnacentral:rRNA from 1 species